GAGAAAGACAGCUAAGACGCAGACACCACAGUACAUCAACAUUGGGAGGGGAGAUCAAGGAGGCCUUCUUGGAGGAGUUAAUGCCCGAGAUGUGAGCCAUUAAAGGAAAAGCAAAAGUGAGCACCCGAGAUGCCCUGCAGAAGGAAAAGUGAGCAGGGAGAAGUCCAAAAGUGAGCAACUCAAGUCCAGUGCCUGGAGAGAGUGUAUGGCAGACAGGGAGAAACAGAUUUGCUCUUAUUAAGUGAAGUACAAGCGAGGAGCUGGAGAGAUGGCUCAGCAGGUAAGGCGGCUUGCACCUGACC
rnacentral:lncRNA from 1 species